rnacentral:sRNA from 1 species
CAAGAACAUUCUGAGAGCUUUGAUGUAUUUGAAAUGUCUGAGAUGUGGGCCUUUUCCUUGUAUCUGUACAAAAGAUUUAUUUAAUUGCCCAACUACCACUGAUGAAGAUAUAUUGGAGUGACUGCUGAAAUUGCCUUUUUGUUUUUAACCAGAGGACAGUCCAUUUGUUUCACUUCUUUUUGCUUUCCUUACUGCUAUGAGCUUUACUGUAACGGCUGAAAAACUUGGAAAAUAAAAUGGACAUGCUGUAGUCUUGAACAUAAUUUUUUUAAGGAAAACUUAAAGUGCCAGAGUGAAAGCCAGAAUGGCAUCCAGAGAGAGGCUCUUUGAACUUUGGAUGCUUUAUUAAAGAUCCAGAUUACCUGAAGCUGUGGUUGGACACUUUUGUUUCUAGCUAUGAACAAUUUUUAGACGUUGACUUUGAAAAGCUGCCUACCAGG